UACGAAGGGGGCUAGCGUUGUUCGGAUUUACUGGGCGUAAAGCGCACGUAGGCGGAUUGUUAAGUCAGGGGUGAAAUCCUGGAGCUCAACUCCAGAACUGCCUUUGAUACUGGCGAUCUCGAGUCCGGGAGAGGUGAGUGGAACUGCGAGUGUAGAGGUGAAAUUCGUAGAUAUUCGCAAGAACACCAGUGGCGAAGGCGGCUCACUGGCCCGGUACUGACGCUGAGGCACGAAAGCGUGGGGAUCAAACAGG
rnacentral:rRNA from 1 species